ensembl:lncRNA
GUCUGUGCCUCGCUGCCAAAAAGGCGAUUCCUCCAUGUGGACUCAGUAUUUUUUGUAUUGGAGUCAUUUCCAUAGUUAUGAAGGAACUGUAUCAAGUCUGUCAGGUUCUUCUCAUCAAGACAUCAUCUCAUUGUCUAACUGGCUACUGGGCUUUGUCCUUCUUCAUAUGUGAGAAGGAUUUACUCUCCAUCCCAUUCCCUGUCCACCUCGUAGCUGUUAAAGGGAGCUGCUGGACUUUGAAGUUUACAUGGCCUGGCUGGCGUUCCAGUGUAACCAAAACCAAUUGUAACAGGUCAGCUUGGAUGAUUUGCUGGUGCUCUGAUUCACUGUGCAAAAUACUGUCCUCUUUUGGCUGAGCUUUCUCACAUUCUUUGUAGACACUGUGGGUUUGGUCUCUGUCUCAUUGUCUUUUCCCAUGAAGACAAAUAAGAGGAAAAUCAUGAGGGGAUCAGUAAAUUUUGCCGUAGACACAAAUAGGGAAACAGGGUUAUAAAACAGUCCUUCCAGCAGCAAAAUCUAUCCUAUACGCCGCAUGAUGAUUUGGAGGGAUGGGCUGUGAGCUACAUUACUGAGAAUGUGUCUAUUGUUGGCCAUAUGUGACGUAUAUGUGGGUAAGAAUGACUAGCCAGUGCAGAUAAUAUUUUACACUCAGAAGUGCGGUGGUUAUUUUAGAGUAAUGCUGCCUCCGAUUAAAAUCACUCUGCUACUCUUGUGUCUGAGCACAGUGAAUUGAAGACUCUUCUCAGUCCAGAGCAGCCCUUGUAUCUCAGAGAAAUGGAGGGUUCGCAUUCUUGUUUAUGGCCUUGCUGCUUCCUAAACUUUAUGGGAGAUCUAGGGAUAAAGGAGUAAUUUGCAUUGAGCAUCACCAAAAUUCAGUAAUGUGCAGAGAUAUGAUUACAUGAAGGCACAGUGCAAAGAAGACAGAGCCAGAUUCUUCACUGUGGUCAAGACAAGAGGCAUUGGGCAGAAAUUGGAACACAGGAUGUUCCAUCUGAACAACAGGGAGCAUUUUACUGUGAGGCUGUUGUACAAAUGGCACAGGAUGCUCAGAGACAUUGUGGUGUCUCUCUCCUUGGAGAUGUUCAGAAUCCACUUGGACAUGGCUCUGAACACUCUGCUCUAGGUGUCUUCCAAUGUCUUCCAAGAGGUCCCUUCCAAUCUUAGCCAUAACCACCAUUUUUUUUUCCCUUAGAAAUUCUACAGCUGACCCUAGUUGGAGAAGAAAAAAAUUCAAGUGUAUCUUUCCAUUUUCUGAAGGCAAAUACUCACAGCUGCUCACAUUGCAAAUUGAUUUCCAACAAAGAAUGAAGUUUCGAAUGACUGCUACCUUUGCUUUGUAAUUUAGUGCACAUAUUCUAUAGCAGACAUAUAUAUUUUUUUAUCCCUUUCAUUAGAUUUCAAAACUGAAAUAGAGAAAAAAAUCCAGUCUGGAAAUAAAUAAAUAUUGAUGCCAAGUACUGAAGCA